rnacentral:lncRNA from 1 species
GGGUCAGGUAAAUUUACCAAAUGUCCGGUAAAUUAACAUGCGGAUGUCAAAUGUCUGCAGCCUAGCAGAAACCCUGGUCUUGACCCACCGUGUGUGUUCCCUGGCCCAGAAGGCAGCAGGAAUGAGGAGCAGAAACAGAGCUUUGGAGGCCACCACCAGGACCCAGAUCAGACCACAGUCAGCAGACACACCACAGUCAGGACAGUCACAAGAGGUGAUGGUGGGCGAGACCUCUGUACAGUAGAGAGGUGAUGGUGGGGGAGUCCUCUGUACAGUAGAGAGGUGAUGGUGUGGGUGUCCUCUGUACAGUAGAGAGGUGAUGGUGUGGGAGUCCUCUGUACAGUAGAGAGGUGAUGGUGUUGGAGUCCUCUGUAAAGUAGAGAGGUGAUGGUGUGGGAGUCAUCUGUACAGUAGAGAGGUGAUGGUGGGGGAGUCCUCUGUACAGUAGAGAGGUGAUGGUGUGGGAGUCCUCUGUACAGUAGAGAGGUGAUGGUGGGGGAGUCCUCUGUACAGUAGAGAGGUGAUGGUGGGGGGAGUCCUCUGUACAGUAGAGAGGUGAUGGUGUGGGAGUCCUCUGUACAGUAGAGAGGUGAUGGUGUUGGAGUCCUCUGUACAGUAAAGAGGUGAUGGUGUUGGAGUCCUCUGUACAGUAGUGAGGUGAUGGUGUUGGAGUCCUCUGUACAGUAGAGAGGUGAUGGUGUGGGAGUCCUCUGUACAGUAGAGAGGUGAUGGUGGGGGAGUCCUCUGUACAGUAGAGAGGUGAUGGUGUGGGAGUCCUCUGUACAGUAGAGAGGUGAUGGUGGGGGAGUCCUCUGUACAGUAGAGAGGUGAUGGUGUGGGAGUCCUCUGUACAGUAGAGAGGUGAUGGUGUGGGAGUCCUCUGUACAGCAGAGAGGUGAUGGUGGGGGAGUCCUCUGUACAGUAGAGAGGUGAUGUUGGGGGAGUCCUCUGUACAGUAGAGAGGUGAUGGUGUGGGAGUCCUCUGUACAGUAGAGAGGUGAUGGUGUGGGAGUCCUCUGUACAGUAGAGAGGUGAUAGUGUUGGAGUCCUCUGUACAGUAAAGAGGUGAUGGAGUUGGAGUCCUCUGUACAGUAGAGAGGUGAUGGUGUUGGAGUCCUCUGUACAGCAGAGAGGUGAUGUGUGGGAGUCCUCUGUACAGUAGAGAGGUGAUGGUGGGGGAGUCCUCUGUACAGCAGAGAGGUGAUGGUGGGGGAGUCCUCUGUACAGUAGAGAGGUGAUGGUGUGGGAGUCCUCUGUACAGUAGGGAGGUGAUGGUGGGGGAGUCCUCUGUACAGUAGAGAGGUGAUGGUGGGGGAGUCCUCUGUACAGUAGAG